GGUGGCGUGUCCGAGCGGCCAAAGGAGCACGACUCGAAAUCGUGUGAGGUGUAAAAGCCUCCGUGGGUUCAAAUCCCACCGCCACCGCCA
rnacentral:tRNA from 1 species